GAACAAAAGAAAAGAAAAAAGAAGGGAAGGGGAAGGGGAGAAGGAAGAGGAAAAGAAAAGGAGAAAAACAUAGAUUAGAGACCUACUGCCCUAGAGCCCAACUCUAUACGAUCAUGAGCAAAAGGAAAGGAAGAGAAGGAAAAUAAGACAGAAUUGACCUGCCAACAAUAUACAAUAGAUAGAUUAGCUGCACCCAAGCACAUGGCAAGCCUGCAUCAACGCCCGACAAGAAUUCCAAGCGUAGGUGGUGGCAAACGAGAAGACAUAACAACCCAUGUUCAUUUCUAAUGCCUAAUACAACAAGUAACUUGUCUUGGAGAUGAAUAAUCCUUACAAAAGUACAUGUUGACAGUAUUUGAGUAAUACUUGUAUUUUGUCACAACAAGGAAAAGGGGUAGCAGGGAUUAAACCCUGUAUACUAAAGAAAAAAUUAUCUUGUCAUAUUGGGCUUUUUUAAUCAAAGUUCACAGGCCUGUCGUUAUCACUUUCAUUCUCAUUUUCUAGCUCUAGUAUAGUAUACUUCAUCUCUUUCGAUUAAGGAGCAACAUAUUUUAACCGCACCAUGCUUCCCUCCCAAAGUAGGUACUAGACAACCGUUGGCAAAUUCUAUAUUACAGCAGACACCAACAAACAUCCCUUGAAGAUAGAUUCAAAGGACUUCCAGGUUAUGGUGCUCUACUGCUCUACAUUCCAAUGUAUUGUAAUUUCAACAAAUCUGCCACAGCAUUUGUCCAGUCACACAUUCUAACCAAAUCUAAUUGGACACUCCACCGAGAAUUCUUUGAUCAAAGAAUCUGAGCUAUAUUCCAAACACUAUUAACUCUCAAAUUGAUCUCAUCAUAUUGUAAUCACUAACCAUGCUUGAAUGUGUGGAAACAGAAAGGAAAAAUAGAAAA